rnacentral:rRNA from 60 species
ACACGACUCUCGGCAACGGAUAUCUCGGCUCUCGCAUCGAUGAAGAACGUAGCGAAAUGCGAUACCUGGUGUGAAUUGCAGAAUCCCGCGAACCAUCGAGUCUUUGAACGCAAGUUGCGCCCGAGGCCACUUGGCCGAGGGCACGCCUGCCUGGGCGUCACGC